rnacentral:rRNA from 1 species
CACGUAGGGUGCGAGCGUUGUCCGGAAUUAUUGGGCGUAAAGAGCUCGUAGGCGGUCUGUCGCGUCUGCUGUGAAAAACUCGGGGCUUAACCCCGGGCCUGCAGUGGGUACGGGCAGACUAGAGUGCGGUAGGGGAGACUGGAAUUCCUGGUGUAGCGGUGAAAUGCGCAGAUAUCAGGAGGAACACCGGUGGCGAAGGCGGGUCUCUGGGCCGUAACUGACGCUGAGGAGCGAAAGCGUGGGGAGCGAACAGG